AUGGGUGCCGCCAGGCGGAAGUUGGCCGCGCUACCGGCGCUCGGGUGGUGGCUCGUGGUGGUCGGCGCCGUCCGCCUCCUCUUCGCCUGGUCCGGCUUCUUCGGCGCCUGGGCGGUCCGCUCCGGCACCUACUCCAACACGCACGUGACUGAUGUGCAUGCGCGUACCGUUGGGGUGUGGACGCUUCUGUCGUGCACCCUCUGCUUCCUCUGCGCCUUCAACCUCGACAACAAGCCGCUCUGCGCCGCGACUCUCUUGUCGUUCGUCUACGCCCAUUUCGUCGUGGAGUACCUGGUGUACCGUACCAUCACCGCAGCAAGCCUCGGCACGCUCGGCUUCUUUGCAGUCCCGUCGAUCAUCUGGACGGUAGUCCAUUGGAGGAACACUCUUGGCUACCGUGCUACCAAGCGGUCAUGA
rnacentral:rRNA from 1 species